rnacentral:rRNA from 1 species
GUCCUGGCAGUAAACGGUGCGCGUUUGGUGUGGGAGGAUUCGACCCCUUCUGUGCCGGAGCUAACGCGUUAAACGCGCCGCCUGGGGAGUACGGUCGCAAGAUUAAAACUCAAAGAAAUUGACGGGGGCCCGCACAAGCGGUGGAGUAUGUGGCUUAAUUCGAUGCAACGCGAAGAACCUUACCUAGCCUUGACAUGCAUCUCUAAGUCGGUGAAAGCCGGCGAGUGUAGCAAUACACGAUUUGCACAGGUGCUGCAUGGCUGUCGU